GGCAAAAAAACGUUACUGAGCAUUGUAAUGAGUAAGCUGUGCCAUGUGUCAGCAGAGAGGAAGGUAAGAGAGCUGUUGUAGUUUCUGUCCUCGAGUCUGUGUUUGUGUACAUGUGGGAACAUGUGGGUACAUGUAUGUGUAUAUGUGUAUGCAUACAUAUAGAGGCCAGACAUGGAUGGGAGGUGUUUCCUGGAUCACAGUCCACCUUAUGUUUCGAGACAGGGUUUCUCAACGAAUCUGGAGUUUACUGCUUAGUUAGAAUAGUUGGCCAGUGGGCCCCAGGCUCUUCUCCCACCCCCCCCCUCUGCUUCCCCAGUGCCAGUACUGGGGAUAUGUAUGACUGCAGGCAGCUUUUCAUGUGUUUGCCAGGGCACUUAAGUGCAGGUUCCCUGCUUGCAUGCAGGCUUAUUCCUGACUCAACCGUGUUCCCAGGCACCCGACUAUGCCUUUGUGAAUUAAGAAAGAAUGUCCUUCGUUUAUAAAAGAAUUAAAAAA
rnacentral:lncRNA from 1 species